rnacentral:misc_RNA from 1 species
UCAAACUUGGUCAUUUAGAGGAAGUAAAAGUCGUAACAAGGUUUCCGUAGGUAUGUAUUGCAUCGACCCCCUUCCUCUUUGAUACGCAUAUGCUAACGUUUAAUUUCUAGGUGAACCUGCGGAAGGAUCAUUACCGAGUUAGCGAACCUGCUAUGGUUUCGCGAAACUUGUAUUUAAAACCUACUCAUAUAAAAAAUUUUUUUGUAUAUAAUAUAUUUAAGAUCACUUUCAACAACGGAUCUCUUGGUUCUCGCAUCGAUGAAGAACGCAGC